rnacentral:rRNA from 1 species
CCUACGGGAGGCAGCAGUGGGGAAUAUUGCGCAAUGGGCGAAAGCCUGACGCAGCGACGCCGCGUGAGGGACGAAGGCCUUCGGGUUGUAAACCUCUUUCAGCAGGGACGAAGCGAAAGUGACUGUACCUGCAGAAGAAGCGCCGGCUAACUACGUGCCAGCAGCCGCGGUAAUACGUAGGGCGCAAGCGUUGUCCGGAAUUAUUGGGCGUAAAGAGCUCGUAGGCGGUCUGUCGCGUCUGCUGUGAAAACCCGGGGCUCAACCCCGGGCCUGCAGUGGAUACGGGCAAACUAGAGUUCGGCAGGGGAGACUGGAAUUCCUGGUGUAGCGGUGAAAUGCGCAGAUAUCAGGAGGAACACCGGUGGCGAAGGCGGGUCUCUGGGCCGAUACUGACGCUGAGGAGCGAAAGCGUGGGGAGCGAACAGGAUUAGAUACCCCAG